rnacentral:rRNA from 1 species
GACGAACGCUGGCGGCGUGCUUAACACAUGCAAGUCGAGCGAGAGAAAUUCCUUCGGGAAGGAAUCUAGCGGCGGACGGGUGAGUAACACGUGGGUAACUUGCCUCAUAGAGGGGAAUAGCCUCUCGAAAGGAAGAUUAAUACCGCAAAAGGUUGUAGUAUCUCAUGAUGCAGCAAUUAAAGGAGUAAGACGCUAUGAGAUGGACCCGCGUCGCAGUAGCUAGUUGGUGAGGUAACGGCUCACCAAGGCGACGAUGCGUAGCCGACCUGAGAGGGUGAUCGGCCACAUUGGGACUGAGACACGGCCCAGACUCCUACGGGAGGCAGCAGUGGGGAAUAUUGCGCAAUGGGGGAAACCCUGAUGCAGCAACGCCGCGUGAGUGAUGACGGUCUUCGGAUUGUAAAACUCUGUCUUCAGGGACGAUAAUGACGGUACCUGAGGAGGAAGCCACGGCUAACUACGUGCCAGCCGCCGCCGUAA